GUGUCAGCAGCCGCGGUAAAACCAGCACCUCAAGUGGUCAGGAUGAUUAUUGGGCCUAAAGCAUCCGUAGCCUGUUCUGUAAGUUUCCGGUUAAAUCCAUUAGCUCAACUAAUGGGCUGCCGAAAAUACUGCAGAACUAGGGAGUGGGAGAGGUAGACGGUACUCGGUAGGAAGGGGUAAAAUCCUUUGAUCUAUUGAUGACCACCUGUGGCGAAGGCGGUCUACCAGAACACGUUCGACGGUGAGGGAUGAAAGCUGGGGGAGCAAACCGGAUUAGAUACCCGGGUAGUCCCAGCUGUAAACGAUGCAGACUCGGUGAUGCGCUGGCUUGUGGCCAGUGCAGUGCCGCAGGGAAGCCGUUAAGUUUGCCGCCUGGGAAGUACGUACGCAAGUAUGAAACUUAAAGGAAUUGGCGGGGGAGCACCACAAGGGGUGAAGCCUGCGGUUCAAUUGGAGUCAACGCCAGAAAUCUUACCCGAAGAGACAGCAGAAUGAAGGUCAAGCUGGAGACUUUACCAGACAAGCUGAGAAGUGGUGCAUGGCCGUCGCCAGCUCGUGCCGUGAGAUGUCCUGUUAAGUCAGGUAACGAGCGAGAUCCCUGCCUCUAGUUGCCACCAUUACUCUCCGGAGUAGUGGGGCGAAUUAGCGGGACCGCCGUAGUUAAUACGGAGGAAGGAAGGGGCCACGGCAGGUCAGUAUGCCCUGAAACUUUGGGGCCACACGCGGGCUGCAAUGGUAGCGACAGUGGGUUCCGAAACCGAAAGGUGGAGGUAAUCCUCAAACGCUACCACAGUUAUGAUUGAGGGCUGCAACUCGCCCUCAUGAAUAUGGAAUCCCUAGUAACUGCGUGUCAUUAUCGCGCGGUGAAUACGUCCCUGCUCCUUGUACACACCGCCCGUC
rnacentral:rRNA from 1 species